rnacentral:misc_RNA from 1 species
AACGCACAUUGCGCCCCUUGGUAUUCCAUGGGGCAUGCCUGUUCGAGCGUCAUUUGUACCCUCAAGCUCUGCUUGGUGUUGGGUGUUUGUUCCGCUAUGCGCGUGAACUCACCUCAAAUCAAUUGGCAGCCGGCAAUCUGGUGUUUGAGCGCAGCACAUUUUGCGCUCUUCGCUGUAUUGCGGCGUCCAUGAAGUCUACAUUUAUGCGCUUGACCUCGGAUCAGGUAGGGAUACCCGCUGAACUUAA